UUCUCCUUUUUUUUUGCCUCGCCCAGCAUAUUUUGUUCCUUUGCUAUGUUUUUCCUUUCAGGAUAGCAAUGAGGUAUUUUCAGGAUCAAACGUAGCACACAACUUAAGAAGCUCAUGAAUGCUUACUGUGAUCAUAACACACAGAUUAUUCAGGGCAUCCAUAGUAGUACAGGUGCUCAGAUACGCAUAUUGAAGAUUGAGUAUCUUCGUUCUUGUGCUAUUAGUACUGAUGAACUUCUUCAGAUUGCUGGAGAUGCUUCUAUUUUGAAAAAGACUCUUUUUGAUGGAAUGAGAUUUAUGUCUUGAUUGUCUCUGUUGUUUGGAUGAAUCUCUAUAAACUUUGUUAUUGCUUGUAAUGUGAACUUUAGCCUUUUUUGAAUUAUUUUCUUUGGAUGCUUGCUAGUUAUUAGAGGAAACCUUCCCCAUAUUAUGGAUUUUAAGCUUGUUGCUCCUUUAUAUCAUGGAAUUUUAGUUCUUAUAUUGUUGUUGA